rnacentral:tRNA from 1 species
UUAUACAUAAUUAAGCCGUUGAAAAUAUUCAGGACGCUCUGACUUUUAAUCAGUAGGUCCAGGGUUCGAAUCCCUGCGCGCUCACCA